rnacentral:rRNA from 1 species
GAUGAACGCUGGCGGCGUGCCUAAUACAUGCAAGUCGAGCGAACAGACGAGGAGCUUGCUCCUCUGACGUUAGCGGCGGACGGGUGAGUAACACGUGGAUAACCUACCUAUAAGACUGGGAUAACUUCGGGAAACCGGAGCUAAUACCGGAUAAUAUAUUGAACCGCAUGGUUCAAUAGUGAAAGACGGUUUUGCUGUCACUUAUAGCUGGAUCCGCGCCGCAUUAGCUAGUUGGUAAGGUAACGGCUUACCAAGGCAACGAUGCGUAGCCGACCUGAGAGGGUGAUCGGCCACACUGGAACUGAGACACGGUCCAGACUCCUACGGGAGGCAGCAGUAGGGAAUCUUCCGCAAUGGGCGAAAGCCUGACGGAGCAACGCCGCGUGAGUGAUGAAGGUCUUCGGAUCGUAAAACUCUGUUAUUAGGGAAGAACAAAUGUGUAAGUAACUAUGCACGUAUUGACGGUACCUAAUCAGAAAGCCACGGCUAACUACGUG